rnacentral:rRNA from 1 species
UACGUAGUGACCAAGCGUUGUUCGGAUUUACUGGGCGUAAAGGGCGCGUAGGCGGCGUGGUAAGUCACUUGUGAAAUCUCUGAGCUUAACUCAGAACGGCCGAGUGAUACUGCUGUGCUAGAGUGCAGAAGGGGCAAUCGGAAUUCUUGGUGUAGCGGUGAAAUGCGUAGAUAUCAAGAGGAACACCUGAGGUGAAGACGGGUUGCUGGGCUGACACUGACGCUGAGGCGCGAAAGCCAGGGGAGCAAACGGG